rnacentral:rRNA from 1 species
AGGACGAACGCUUGCGGCGUGCCUAAGAAAUGCAAGUCGAGCGGGGGGAGCAAUCCCUAGCGGCGAACGGUCGCGUAACACGUAAGCAACCUGCCCGAAAGACCGGGACAACAGCUCGAAAUGGCUGCUAAAUACCGGAUGUGUCCGCUGGGUCUCAUGACCUGGCGAGUAAAUCAUUUAUGGCUUUCGGAGGGGCUUGCGGCCUAUCAGCUAGAUGGCGGUGUAACGGACCACCAUGGCGACGACGGGUAGCUGGUCUGAGAGGAUGGUCAGCCGGACUGGGACUGAGAUACGGCCCAGACUCCUACGGGGGCAGCAAUUAGGAAUCUUGUGCAAUGGGCGAAAGCCUGACACAGCGACGCCGCGUGAGGGAGAAGGCCUUGGGUUGUAACUCUUUUGACGAGGAAGAACACAAUGACGGUACUCGUCGAAUAAGCCCCGGCUAACUCCGCGCCAGCAGCCGC